rnacentral:tRNA from 1 species
AUGGCAGAGUGGUCGAAUGCAUACGAUUGAAACUCGUAAAAUCAUUAAUUUGAUUCGAGGGUUCGAAUCCCUUUCUCCCCGCAA